GACGAACGCUGGCGGCGUGCCUAAUACAUGCAAGUCGAACGCAUUUUCUUUCACCGUAGCUUGCUACACCGACAGAAAAUGAGUGGCGAACGGGUGAGUAACACGUGGGUAACCUGCCCAUCAGCGGGGGAUAACACUUGGAAACAGGUGCUAAUACCGCAUAAUUCCAUUUACCGCAUGGUAAAUGGAUGAAAGGCGCUUUUGCGUCACUGAUGGAUGGACCCGCGGUGCAUUAGCUAGUUGGUGGGGUAACGGCCUACCAAGGCUGCGAUGCAUAGCCGACCUGAGAGGGUGAUCGGCCACACUGGGACUGAGACACGGCCCAGACUCCUACGGGAGGCAGCAGUAGGGAAUCUUCGGCAAUGGACGCAAGUCUGACCGAGCAACGCCGCGUGAGUGAAGAAGGUUUUCGGAUCGUAAAACUCUGUUGUUAGAGAAGAACAAGGAUGAGAGUGGAAAGUUCAUCCCUUGACGGUAUCUAACCAGAAAGCCACGGUUAACUACGU
rnacentral:rRNA from 1 species